rnacentral:rRNA from 1 species
GACGAACGCUGGCGGCGUGCUUAACACAUGCAAGUCGAACGGAAAGGCCCUGCUUUUGUGGGGUGCUCGAGUGGCAAACGGGUGAGUAACACGUGAGUAACCUGCCCUUGACUUUGGGAUAACUUCAGGAAACUGGGGCUAAUACCGGAUAGGAGCUCCUGCUGCAUGGUGGGGGUUGGAAAGUUUCGGCGGUUGGGGAUGGACUCGCGGCUUAUCAGCUUGUUGGUGGGGUAGUGGCUUACCAAGGCUUUGACGGGUAGCCGGCCUGAGAGGGUGACCGGCCACAUUGGGACUGAGAUACGGCCCAGACUCCUACGGGAGGCAGCAGUGGGGAAUAUUGCACAAUGGGCGGAAGCCUGAUGCAGCAACGCCGCGUGCGGGAUGACGGCCUUCGGGUUGUAAACCGCUUUCGCCUGUGACGAAGCGUGAGUGACGGUAAUGGGUAAAGAAGCACCGGCUAACUACGU